rnacentral:rRNA from 1 species
CAGUAGCCGCGGGAAUACGAAGGGUGCAAGCGUUAAUCGGAAUUACUGGGCGUAAAGCGUGCGUAGGCGGUUUGUUAAGUCUGUUGUGGAAUCCCCGGGCUCAACCUGGGAAUGGCAAUGGAUACUGGCAAGCUAGAGUGUGUCAGAGGAUGGUGGAAUUCCCGGUGUAGCGGUGAAAUGCGUAGAGAUCGGGAGGAACAUCAGUGUCGAAGGCGGCCAUCUGGACAACACUGACGCUGAGGCACGAAAGCGUGGGGAGCAAACAGGAUUAGAUACCCGCGUAGUCCCUGUCUCUUAUACA